GCCAUCUGCCAUGGAACAAUCACCGAAAUGCAUAUUUUCAUAAAAAGUUUUACAGAGAAGACCAUCCACUCUUGAGGUUGAACCCUCAGAUAUGAUGAAACAUGCAAAGGUCAAGAUCAGGAGAAGGAAGGAAUUCCUCCUGAUCAGCCUUUGCUGAUCUUUGUUGGCAAGCACCUGGGAGAUUAUUAACAUGCUUUGUCUGUCUACCACAUUUGCAAAGAGUGCACUCUCCAUCUUGUGUUGAGAUUUCACAAUGGUGUUAAGAAAAUGAAUCUUAUGCAACUCCCAUGGAGACCAAAGAGAAAGAAGGUUAAGCUGGCUGUCCUGAAAUACCAUAAGGUGGAUGAGAAUGGCAAAAUUAGCUGUCUUUGUAGGGAGUCCCCUUCAGAUAAAUGUGGUGGUGACAUUUUUAAGGCCAGUCACUUUGACAGACAUUAUUGUGGGAAAUGUUGUCUGACUUAUUGCUUCAACAAACCAGAAGACAAGUAAUUGUGUAUGAGUUAAUAAAAGACAUGAACUAAGAAUAAAACAAAA
rnacentral:lncRNA from 10 species